GUGAACGCAGUAAAUCAAAUAAAGUUUUACCAUACACCUUCGGAUUCGAUCUGGACGCUCUCUCUCCAAGAACAACAGUCAUUCGCCUUCGACCCUCUCUCCCACUCCAGAAUCCUCAAGCGCUCUCCAGUCUCCACUUCUCGCGCAUCAACCCUCUUCUCCCCAACUUCAUCGUCAUCGGCGGAGUUCCCGACUCCGAUUCGUGAAAGCUCGGUCCUCCUCUCCCUCUCGCUAACCCCAAUAUCAUAUAAAGGUUACAAGUCAUCGGCGUUAGUUUUGUAUUGAAACCGUACAAUUUAAUUGGAAAUUGGGGGUUUCGAAUUUGCAGUUGACUCCGACAUAGUAGUGAAGCCGAUUGAAGGAUUCGUCGUGUUGGUGACGGUCAGUUGGUUGGUGAAGGCUGGUGGUCGCCGUCGUUCAAAAUCGGCUCAUCUUCGAUCUGGUCCAGGAGCUGACCUUCCCUCUCGCCAGAUUAUUGAAACCCCAAGGUCAAUGCUUCUCUCAGUUUGAAUACUAGAAGCAGCGGUUCCAAUUGGCUUCGCUUUUCUUGGGGUUGGAGUUGGGGGUGGGGGAUAACAACGGUGGAUCAGAUACUGCUGCGCUUUUAAUAAUAAUGGAGUAGCCUUGAAUAGUGCGGUGGCAGGCAGCCACAAAAAAGUAUUGAUUUUGAUGAAGAAUUUGGAGAUGAAUAUCAGAGCUUGGUAAUGCUCGGGAGACUUGAUCCGGCUGGUCACAAUGCAUGUUUGGGUAGUGAAACAACAUGGACUUCAAGCAAUCAGGUCUUGCGGAGAUGAUAAAAAGAACAGAUGAAGGAGCUCUCAUCAGUUUGCCUACCAUAGCUGAAGGAGUAGGUUCACCCUGGAUCAGGACAUUAAGAAGAAACUCGAUGGAGAUUCUGAAUCAAUACUUUGUUGUGUACUAUGAAAUACUUAUGGUCUUUGUUGUGUACCAUGAGAAUGCAUUACAAUUUGGGAUUGGUAUGUACAAUUUGGUAUUAGAGGUUCAGUUAAUUUUGGGUUUUCUUGUUCACA